rnacentral:rRNA from 1 species
GAUGAACGCUGGCGGCGUGCCUAAUACAUGCAAGUCGAGCGAACGGACGAGAAGCUUGCUUCUCUGAUGUUAGCGGCGGACGGGUGAGUAACACGGGGAUAACCUACCUAUAAGACUGGGAUAACUUCGGGAAACCGGAGCUAAUACCGGAUAAUAUUUUGAACCGCAUGGUUCAAAAGUAAAAGACGGUCUUGCUGUCACUUAUAGAUGGAUCCGCGCUGCAUUAGCUAGUUGGUAAGGUAACGGCUUACCAAGGCAACGAUGCAUAGCCGACCUGAGAGGGUGAUCGGCCACACUGGAACUGAGACACGGUCCAGACUCCUACGGGAGGCAGCAGUAGGGAAUCUUCCGCAAUGGGCGAAAGCCUGACGGAGCAACGCCGCGUGAGUGAUGAAGGUCUUCGGAUCGUAAAACUCUGUUAUUAGGGAAGAACAUAUGUGUAAGUAACUGUGCACAUCUUGACGGUACCUAAUCAGAAAGCCACGGCUAACUACGUG